rnacentral:lncRNA from 1 species
GGUGCACCCUACUGGAUUUCUCUGUGAGGCGGGCCUCCACCUAUAUAAAUACGAGCAAUUUCUGACCACCUCCUUAAAUCAAUUUUGGGAGACAGGCAAUUCUUGGCCAUCUUCUCAAAUAAAAUGAUUGCUUCUCAUAUUAAAACUAGCAUGUCUCUUGAAAUCUUUUAAGUAGUAGUGCAAGUGAUACGACCAUACAAAAAUUUCUCUAUGAGUACAUUUAUGACCAUCAAAAAAAUAUGUUGUAGAGAAGGAAAAUGUUGUAUCCAGUAGUGGCAGCAGCCAUCUUGAACAUUUAAUAACCUCUUGCUUCAUUUGUUGCAGACUCCUCGAGGGAGAACAAAUGCAUAAUAUGAACUCAGAGACUACUUCCACUAUAUUCUCCUCCAACACUUCCUUUGCAAUGACGAUUAAACCUUUAUUUUCUGAUGUGAACCUUACGAUGGACAUACCUUGGCAUUAAUUUGGAGGAUUGAAGCUGUGUUAAAUCAAAAUCUAAUAUGUGCCUCAUUUCUUUAUUUAUUGGUAGAAGAUAUCAAAUCAUUAAGAUGUCUGGAUGUAUACACAUAUCUCUGUCAUGGAUACAUGUGUAUAUCAGCAUUAACAUGUGUCACUACAUGUAUAAACAUAUCUCUAUUAUGGAUGCAUAUAUCGACACUAAUUAAGAUGUGCCACUGCAUGUAUAUAAACAGGACUGAAUGAGGCAAUAUGCAUACUUUAACACAAGUUCAAGAAAUAUACCAAUACUGUUCUUCACUUACAUCUCAUAAUUAGCAAGACAAUGAGGACCGUUGGCACAUCUCUUUGCAUUGCUCUGGUGAUUAUGUCUUCAACACUCUCAUCCUGCUAUGAUUGUACGUUUAUAACAUCUCAUGGGCUUACAAUAAUUUUAUUCAUGCAUGGUUUUAAAAUCCAGCUGUGUUUCAUAUAUGCAUGCAGUUCCAGUCAUAGUUAUUCAUUUACCUGGAUGCACUUUUGCGCUUUGCCUCAACGAAUGCUCGAAGUUUGCCAGUAGGACUGGCCAAGUGUUACAGAGAUCCUACUGUGAGAAGAUGGGUGAUUGCUGCUGUGUGUUAGGUCACCAAUUAGCUGCUGCAGAGGAUGAUAAAGGAACUUUUGUUUGAACAGGAUUAAAAUUGAGACAGAUGAUGGAUGGGAUCCUUACAUAUGUAUCAAGGCAGGCAGUACCAUAUGCUCUUGCAUCAAACUUACAUGGCGAUGCCCUGUUUCCAUCUAACUGUAAUAAAAUAAUUGUGUGACUUUCCUAUACUAUUGUUCACCCGAUUCAUCCAUUAUUUUGGUUACAACUAAAUUAUUUCAGGCCAUACUGAGUUUUGUACUAUAACUGAACUUUUCAGGCCACCAAAUAGACGUGGUCAUUCCUCAGGUUUAGUCAAGUUAUGCAAAACCCGAGCGUGAAAUCCUUACUAUCAUGAAACCACCCAUGAAUCAAUCGGACUAUUGCACAUGAUGUUGCCUGACACCAGUGACCUUGUCGCAGUUUGCCUGAUAGAAGGGGCU